rnacentral:rRNA from 1 species
CUCGUACCUUUUGCAUCAUGAUUUAGCCAGUAUCUUCAAGCGAAGAGAACUUUAGUUUGAAACCCCGAAACUGCGUGAGCUACUCCAAGACAGCCUAUUUAUAGGGCAAACCCGUCUCUGUGGCAAAAGAGUGGGAAGAGCUUCGAGUAGGGGUGACAGACCUAUCGAACCCAGUUAUAGCUGGUUGCCCGGGAAUUGGAUAGAAGUUCAGCCUCACAGCUUCUCCCUUCAUAUUUAUUUUAACCACCAAACGAUUUAAGAGAAACCAUGAGAGUUAGUCAAAGGGGGUACAGCCCCUUUGAACAAAGACACAACUUUUUUAGGAGGAUAAAGAUCACAAUUUUUAAGGCAAAAUGUUCCGGUGGGCCUAAAAGCAGCCAUCCCAAUAGAAAGCGUUAAAGCUCGAACAUAAUCUGAUCUUUCCCCAUAUUCUGAUAUUUAUAUCUUAAUCCCCUAACAUUACCGGGCCUCCCCAUGCACCCAUGGGGGCGACCCUGCUAGAAUGAGUAAUAAGAGAGCCCCCUCUCUCCCAGCACAUGUGUAAAUCGGAACGGACCCACCACCGAAUAAUAACGGCCCCAAACAAAGAGGGCACUGGACAAACGCGCAAACAAACUAGAAAAUCGUCCUAAAAUAACCGUUAACCCCACACUGGUGUGCCCACCGGGAAAGACUAAAAGAAAGAGAAGGAACUCGGCAAACAAAAUCUUAAAGCCUCGCCUGUUUACCAAAAACAUCGCCUCUUGCAAAACCAAAGAAUAAGAGGUCCCGCCUGCCCGGUGACAAUAUGAUUCAACGGCCGCGGUAUUUUGACCGUGCAAAGGUAGCGUAAUCACUUGUCUUUUAAAUGAAGACCUGUAUGAAUGGCAUAACGAGGGCUUAACUGUCUCCUUUUUCCAGUCAAUGAAAUUGAUCUCCCCGUGCAGAAGCGGAGAUACAAACAUAAGACGAGAAGACCCUAUGGAGCUUUAGACACCAAGACAGAUCAUGUUAAACACCCCUUAACAAAGACUUGAACCUAAUGAUUCCCUGUCCUAAUGUCUUCGGUUGGGGCGACCAUGGGGAAGCACAAAACCCCCAUGUGGAAUAGGAGAACAACCCCAUAUUAUUUCCCCUCCUCCCACAAGCAAGAGCUACAACUCUAGCUAACAGAAUUUCUGACCUUAUAUGAUCCGGCAUACGCCGAUCAACGGACCAAGUUACCCUAGGGAUAACAGCGCAAUCCCCUUUUAGAGCCCAUAUCGACAAGGGGGUUUACGACCUCGAUGUUGGAUCAGGACAUCCUAA